ACAGCAAACACCUAGGAGAUGCAGUGCUUAUCUCGAGGUUGGAGAGUGGGUUUACUCGACCUCAGAUAAAGAGAAUCGAACAGCAAGUCAAGACUACAGUUACCAAAAAACAAGCUGCAGAAUCUGCUAAGACAGUUAAAGAAAAAACAACAUCGAAGGCAGUUGAGUCUGAAGAGCCUUCUAAGGCACGUAAAAGACCAACCAACG